UUUAUGUUUGUUUUGUGAGCUUGUUUAUGGGAGUUUAAGGUGUUGUAAGCUCCUUUAUGCUUGUUAUAUGAGUUAGGCAUGAGGUAGAGAGGUUAGAUGCAUGUUGUGAGGGAUUGGAAGGUUUGGGAGGCAUGGUUAUGCUCGAAGCUGAGUUUUGGAGGAACUCAGGUUCGGCAGCCGAAGGAGGAUUCGGCCGCCGAACAUGCCCGAGUUUCGGCUCUG
rnacentral:lncRNA from 1 species